AGAUCACUGCCACCCACAGGAUAAACUGGAGGAUACACAAUUCUGCACAGCAGACAACAAAUAAGGAAAUAUGAUUUGAGCCUCAUAUUUUGACAAGUCACCAGACCAUAUAGCAUGUGUAUAAUAUAAAGAUAACACUAGUACAGCAGCAAUGAGGUCUCGUGUAUUGUUCACAUGUGUGUCAACCACCAAUGGCAGCAGAAGAAAGCAAGCAAAAUUACUGUGGCCGAUUGAUCUUCCAAUAUGAUAGUUUCAACAAUUCUCAAUAUUGGUUGAUGAAAGUUAUAGGAUUAGAAGACGGUUAUAAGCCUUCGUACCGACAUAAUAUCAUAGAGUCAUUCGGUCUACCAUCAAAUGAAUUGUUCCCCAUCAGGAGCUACUUGGUCUCCUGUUGAGAUUGAAUGCCAGUUUUGUGUUCAGAACUUCAGACUACAUAAGAAGUUCCAACACCCUUUUGGAAACCUGAUAUUGUGCUGUUAUUCCUUCUAACCAAAUGGACAUCAACCUGAAGAGUAGGUCAAACUGGCUCAAUCUAAUUCAACUAGUGGGGUCAAUCUCUAAGCUAAAUCGGAUGAUAAAAGUAAAAAUGUUCAAGAAAGGAAAUAGGAAGAGAAAAAAAAGAAAGAAAAGGAAAGCCACCAUUGAACCUAAUAAGACCUCAUUUGUUUGACCACAAUUGCAAAAAGAUCAGCUCUGUCAAGCUAGAUGGAGCAAGGGAUUUGGCCAGAAAGGCCCAGACAUAAAAAUGCAUCCUUAUUGUGGAGGGGACCAUCCUAAGUCAAGCGACAACACUAGUUUUCCUGAUCCUAGAGGAUAUUAAAAAUGACUUCAGCCUAGUCCAAAACUGUUAAAAAUUGACGUAUUAUUGAAUUGAUAUAAUGUUAUUGAUAUUUAUUACAAUGAUUCAUGAUUCCUAUAUAUAGAAGAGGGUGAGUGUGUAGUAGGUAAGGAGUAGGUGAAGUGGAGGUGGUAGUGGUGUAGUGGGUUAGGUUUAGUGGAGUAGGUUUAAGUGGGUGAAGUAGGUGAUAGGUUUUAACAACUCCCCGCAAACUCAAGGGGGACAGGAACUAGCCAACUUGCGUUUGGAGAGAGUAACAAAACAAGAAAAUA